rnacentral:rRNA from 1 species
GACAGAGGUGCCGAGCGUUAGGCGGAAUCACUGGGCUUAAAGCGUGUGUAGGUGGAUGUCUAAGUACCUUGUGAAAUCCCACGGCUUAACCGUGGAACUGCUCGGUAUACUGGAUGUCUUGAGCCAGCUAGGGGCUACCGGAACAAAUGGUGGAGCGGUGAAAUGCGUAGAUAUCAUUUGGAACGCCAAUGGUGAAAACAGGUAGCUGGGGCUGUGCUGACACUGAGACACGAAAGCCAGGGGAGCGAACGGGAUUAGAUACCCCGGUAGUCCUGGCCGUAAACGAUGUCGACUAGAUCGUAGUGGCUCUGACGCUAUUACGGUCGAAGCAAAAGUGCUAAGUCGACCGCCUGGGAAGUACGGUCGCAAGGCUAAA